UACGUAGGGUGCGAGCGUUAAUCGGAAUUACUGGGCGUAAAGCGUGCGCAGGCGGUGAGCUGUGUCCGAUGUGAAAGCCCCGGGCUUAACCUGGGAAUGGCAUUGGAAACUGGCUCGCUGGAGUGUGGCAGAGGGGGGUGGAAUUCCGCGUGUAGCAGUGAAAUGCGUAGAGAUGCGGAGGAACACCGAUGGCGAAGGCAGCCCCCUGGGCUAACACUGAUGCUCAGGCACGAAAGCGUGGGGAGCAAACAGG
rnacentral:rRNA from 1 species